GGGAUAGCUCAGCUGGCUAGAGCGCCUGCCUUGCACGCAGGAGGUCAUCGGUUCGACUCCGAUAUUCUCCACUAACAGU
rnacentral:tRNA from 1 species